rfam:Lactobacillus wasatchensis strain WDC04 contig00025, whole genome shotgun sequence.
GUUCAAGUGAAUAUUUCACCUAAGACUCAGGUGGCGUAAGCCUCAAUCAUACCUGCCGAGGAAUUAAAAUUCUUUCUCUAUGUCUUGGUGGACAUAGGGAUUUUUUUAACAAAAA